AUUGAACGCUGGCGGCAGGCCUAACACAUGCAAGUCGAGCGAGCGGCGGACGGGUGAGUAAUGUAUGGGGAUCUGCCUGAUGGAGGGGGAUAACUACUGGAAACGGUAGCUAAUACCGCAUAACAUCAGAUGAACCCAUAUGGGAUUAGCUUGUAGGUGAGGUAACGGCUCACCUCGGAGACGCUCCCUAGCUGGUCUGAGAGGAGGAUCAGCCAAACUGGGAGUGAGAAACGGCCCAGACUCCUACGGUGGGCAGCAGUGGGGAAUAUUGCACAAUGGUGGCAAGCCUGAUGCAGCCAUGCCGCGUGGAUGAAGAGGGCCUUCGGGGUGUAAAGUACUUUCAGUCGGGAGGCGUUACCGACAGAAGAAGCACCGGCUAACUCCGUGCCAGCAGCCGCGGUAAUAC
rnacentral:rRNA from 1 species